GAGAAUCUUAUCUUCUCCACACAUCCACCCAGCGCUCUGCCGACCAGCACCAGCAGACCUCUCCUCCCGCGCCUCUGCCACAGGCCCAGCUAGCCACCAGCCAGGAGCUCAUGCACAAGCCAGCCGCACUGCACAACGCUGCCGCCCGUACACCGCCGCCAGCACCAACCACGCCGGAGCAAGGAGCUCCCCUCGACCCCGGGCGCCUGCCUCCCGUCCGGCGACCGGCCGCUGGAGCAUCACACCCGCGCCAUGGACCUCCGACCCCGACGCCCAAGCUCCCGAUGCUGUUCAUCGCCAGAUCCGCGCCGCCCCACCUUCUCCGACCGUGUCGGGAGCUGCCGUCAGGAGCACGCGCUGUUAGAAAUAAGCCAUGCCACUGCAUGCGUCAUGCGCGCGGCCAUAGCUCUGUGUUUAGUCGUGUGUGUACUAGCGGCUGUAGGGAUUAGUUAGACUGGCCGCGUUGAGUGGCGCAGCCGUGGCUGGCUAGCUACAUGCAUGGCGGGUCAUGUGGCCGUUGGAAGAGGCUGGAUCUGGGCGUGCAUGCAGGUAGUGGCUGGUGCGGUGAGCGUGCAGUUGGUGCAUGCGUGAGUUAAUUAGUUAGUGCUGUUAGUGGCCGCGUGUGACGGAUGGUGCGUGUGUUGGUGUGUGUGUGCAGCCGGGUAUAAAAAGCCCCCUGAUAUAUUGAUCGAGGUGCGUCGGUAAGAGCCGUGUGUAGCCAUGUAGCCACUGUAAGGAAGAAAAGGAUUGGGGCGUUCGUGCGCCGGCCGGAAAAUUUUAAGUCUGUGUUCUUCUUC